UCAUGGGUGAAAGUCCUCGGCUCAACCGAGGGAUUGCCUGUGAAACCACGGGACUGGAGUGCUGGAGAGGGAAGUGGAAUUCCCAGUGUAGCGGUGAAAUGCGUAGAUAUUGGGAGGAACACCUGUGGCGAAGGCGGCUUCCUGGACAGACACUGACGCUGAGGCGCGAAAGCCAGGGGAGCGAACGGGAUUAGAUACCCCGGUAGUCCUGGCUGUAAACGAUGAACACUUGGUGUGGGGGGUGAUGAAAGUCCCUCUGUGCCGUAGAGAACUCGAUAAGUGUUCCGCCUGGGGAGUACGGCCGCAAGGCUGAAACACAAAGGAAUUGACGGGGGCCCGCACAAGCGGUGGAGCAUGUGGUUUAAUUCGACGCAACGCGAAGAACCUUACCGGGGUUUGAACUGCACCUGAACGAUCUAGAGAUAGAGAGGUUCCUUUCGGGGACAGGUGUAGAGGUGCUGCAUGGCUGUCGUCAGCUCGUGUCGUGAGAUGUUGGGUUAAGUCCCGCAACGAGCGCAACCCUUGUCUGUAGUUGCCAUCAGGUAAAGCUGGGCACUCUACGGAGACUGUCGGGAGAAGCCGGAGGAAGGUGGGGAUGACGUCAAGUCCUCAUGGCCUUUAUGUCCCGGGCUACACACGUGCUACAAUGGGCGGUACAGAGGCCACCGAACCUGUGAAGGCAAGCGAAUCCCAGAAACCGCUCUCAGUUCGGAUUGCAGUCUGC
rnacentral:rRNA from 1 species